CAGUAGCCGCGGGAAUACGGAGGGUGCAAGCGUUAUCCGGAUUUAUUGGGUUUAAAGGGUCCGUAGGCGGAUCUGUAAGUCAGUGGUGAAAUCUCACAGCUUAACUGUAAAACUGCCAUUGAUACUGCAGGUCUUGAGUAAAUUUGAAGUGGCUGGAAUAAGUAGUGUAGCGGUGAAAUGCAUAGAUAUUACUUAGAACACCAAUUGCGAAGGCAGGUCACUAAGAUUUAACUGACGCUGAUGGACGAAAGCGUGGGGAGCGAACAGGAUUAGAUACCCCCGUAGUCCCUGUCUCUUAUAA
rnacentral:rRNA from 1 species